GACGCGAAGCCGGGUGAGCUAUCCGUGGGCAGGCUGAAGCGGGGGUAAGACCCCGUGGAGGGCCGAACGCACGUCGGUUGAAAACGGCGGCGAUGACCUGCGGAUAGGGGUGAAAGGCCAAUCAAACCCGGAGAUAUCUCGUUCUCCCCGAAAUAGCUUUAGGGCUAGCGUCGCGCGUUCACCGCCGGAGGUAGAGCACCGGAUGGACGAGGGGGCUUCGCCGCCUACCGAAUCCAACCGAACUCCGAAUGCCGGCGGCCCAGAGCGCGGCAGUCAGAGCAUGUGGGCUAAGCUGUGUGCUCGAGAGGGAAACAGCCCGGACCGCCCGCUAAGGUCCCCAAGUUCCAGCCGAGUGGCAAAGGAUGUGCGUCCGCCCAGACAACCAGGAUGUUGGCUUAGAAGCAGCCAUCCAUUCAAAGAGUGCGUAACAGCUCACUGGUCGAGUGGACAUGCGCCGACAAUACACGGGGCUAAGCUGGACACCGAAGCGGCGGGAUUUUAAUUCAUUAGAAUCGGUAGGGGAGCUUCCCAUGGGCGGAGAAGCCGGAGGGCGACCGACGGUGGAGCGCAUGGGAGUGAGAAUGCUGGCAUGAGUAGCGAGAGACGAGAGAGUAACUCGUCCGCCGUGAACCCGAGGUUUCCUGGGCAAGGCUAAUCCUCCCAGGGUCAGUCGGGGGCUAAGGCGAGGCCGGUAGGCGUAGCCGACGCGCAGCAGGCAGACAUUCCUGCACCGCGCACGCGGCGCUACGACCGACGGGGCGACGGAUGGGGGUGGCUCGGCGGGGUUCUGGACGUCCCCGUGAUGGAGCGCGGCCCGCGGACCAGGGAAAUCCGGUCCGCACGAGGGCGAGGCUCCGGACGAAGCGAUUGAGCGAAGCGAGUGAGCCCGAGGUCCCUAGAAAAACCCCUAGGCAGGCGCGUGCGCGCCCGUACCGCAAACCGACACAGGUGGGUGGGUAGAACAUACCGAGGCGAUCGGGUCAACCAUGGUCAAGGAACUCGGCACAAUGGCCCCGUAACUUCGGGAGAAGGGGUGCCCGCGCGUACGUGAACCGGCUUGCCCGGGGAGCGGAGGCGGGCCGCAGUGGAGAGGCCCAAGCGACUGUUUACCAAAAACACAGGACUCUGCAGAAGCCGCAAGGCGACGUAUAGGGUCUGACGCCUGCCCGGUGCCGGAAGGUCACGCGGAGGAGUUAGCGCAUCGCGCGAAGCCCCGAAGCCAAGCCCCGGUAAACGGCGGCCGUAACUAUAACGGUCCUAAGGUAGCGAAAUUCCUUGUCGGGUAAGUUCCGACCUGCACGAAAGGCGCAACGACUUGGGCGCUGUCUCGACCAUGGACCCGGUGAAAUUGCACUGGUCGUGAAGAUGCGACUUACCCGCGGAAGGACGGAAAGACCCCGUGAACCUUCACUGCAGCUUGGCAUUGGCCGCUGGUCCCGCGUGUAGAGGAUAGGCAGGAGGCAUCGAUCCGGAGGCGCCAGCCCCCGGGGAGCCGCCCUUGGAAUACUGCCCUCGCGCGACCGGCGUCCUAACCCGAGGCCGUCAACCGGCUCGGGGACCGUGCCAGGCGGGCAGUUUGACUGGGGCGGUCGCCUCCUAAAGGGUAACGGAGGCGCGCGAAGGUCCGCUCGGGACGGUCGGCAACCGUCCUUUUGAAUGCAAGAGUACAAGCGGGCUUGACUGCGAGGCCCACAAGCCGAGCAGGUGCGAAAGCAGGCUCUAGUGAUCCGGCGGCCCCGAGUGGGUGGGCCGUCGCUCAACGGAUAAAAGGUACUCCGGGGAUAACAGGCUGAUCUUGCCCAAGAGUCCACAUCGACGGCAAGGUUUGGCACCUCGAUGUCGGCUCAUCGCAUCCUGGGGCUGGAGCAGGUCCCAAGGGUACGGCUGUUCGCCGUUUAAAGCGGUACGCGAGCUGGGUUCAGAACGUCGUGAGACAGUUCGGUCACUAUCCUCCGUGGGCGCAGGAGAAUCGAUGGAGGCUGCCCCCAGUACGAGAGGACCGGGGUGGACGCACCUCCGGUGAACCGGUUGUCGACCAACGGCACGGCCGGGUAGCCGCGUGCGGCGCGGAUAACCGCUGAAGGCAUCUAAGCGGGAAGCCGUUCCAGGGAUUAGUUCUCCUUCCGGUAAGGGCCCAGGUAGACUACCUGGUCGAUAGACGGCAGGUGCAAGGACGGCGACGUCCUCAGCCGAGCCGCACUAAUCGCCCGAGCUCUUCCGGAA
rnacentral:rRNA from 1 species